rnacentral:rRNA from 1 species
AUUGAACGCUGGCGGCGUGCUUAACACAUGCAAGUCGAGCGGUAACAGGUGUAGCAAUACAUGCUGACGAGCGGCGAACGGGUGAGUAAUGCUUCGGAAUCUUCCUAGUAGUGGGGACUAACCUGGGGAAACUCAGGCUAAUACCGCAUACGAACUACGGUUGAAAGCAGGGGAUCGCAAGACCUUGCGCUAUUAGAUGAGCCGAAGUCGGAUUAGCUAGUUGGUGAGGUAACGGCUCACCAAGGCGACGAUCCGUAGCUGGUCUGAGAGGACGACCAGCCACACUGGGACUGAGACUCGGCCCAGACUCCUACGGGAGGCAGCAGUGGGGAAUAUUGGACAAUGGGGGCAACCCUGAUCCAGCGACGCCGCGUGUGUGAAGAAGGCCUGCGGGUUGUAAAGCACUUUUAGUGGGGACAAAAAGCCGAGGGCUAAUACUCUUCGGUCUUGAUUUAACCCAAAGAAAAAGCACCGGCUAACUCUGUGCCAGCCGCCGCCGUAACAC